AGAGUUUGAUCCUGGCUCAGGACGAACGCUGGCGGCGUGCUUAACACAUGCAAGUCGAGCGGAAAGGCCCUUUGGGGUACUCGAGCGGCGAACGGGUGAGUAACACGUGAGUAACCUGCCCUAGGCUCUGGGAUAACUGUCGGAAACGAUGGCUAAUACCGGAUAUUCAGGCGUGAUCGCAUGGUCGUGUUUGGAAAGUUUUUCGGCUUGGGAUGGGCUCGCGGCCUAUCAGCUUGUUGGUGGGGUGAUGGCCUACCAAGGCUUCGACGGGUAGCCGGCCUGAGAGGGCGACCGGCCACACUGGGACUGAGACACGGCCCAGACUCCUACGGGAGGCAGCAGUGGGGAAUAUUGCACAAUGGGCGGAAGCCUGAUGCAGCGACGCCGCGUGAGGGAAGACGGCCUUCGGGUUGUAAACCUCUUUCAGCAGGGACGAAGCGGAAGUGACGGUACCUGCAGAAGAAGCGCCGGCCAACUACGUGCCAGCAGCCGCGGUAAGACGUAGGGCGCGAGCGUUGUCCGGAUUUAUUGGGCGUAAAGAGCUCGUAGGCGGCUCGUUGCGUCAACCGUGAAAACCCGGGGCUUAACUUCGGGCUUGCGGUUGAUACGGGCGGGCUGGAGUUCGGUAGGGGAGACUGGAAUUCCUGGUGUAGCGGUGAAAUGCGCAGAUAUCAGGAGGAACACCGGUGGCGAAGGCGGGUCUCUGGGCCGAUACUGACGCUGAGGAGCGAAAGCGUGGGGAGCGAACAGGAUUAGAUACCCUAGUAGUCC
rnacentral:rRNA from 1 species